AGAGUUUGAUCAUGGCUCAGAGCGAACGUUUGCGGCGGGCCUAACACAUGCAAGUCGAACGGGCUAGCAAUAGUCAGUGGCGCACGGGUGCGUAACACGUGGGUAAUCUGCCCUCGAGCUCGGGAUAACCAGUCGAAAGACUGGCUAAUACCGGAUAUGACCACAAGAUCUGAGGAUCAAGGGGUAAAAGGUUUUUCGCCUGAGGAUGAGCCCAUGUGGGAUUAGCUAGUUGGUGUAGGUAACGGCUCACCAAGGCGACGAUCCCUAACUGGUCUUAGAGGAUGAUCAGUCACACUGGAACUGAGACACGGUCCAGACUCCUACGGGAGGCAGCAGUAGGGAAUAUUGCACAAUGGAGGAAACUCUGAUGCAGCGACGCCGCGUGAGUGAUGAAGGCCUUCGGGUCGUAAAGCUCUGUCGUAUGGGACUAACAAAAUGAAGGUACCAUGCAAGAAAGGAUCGGCUAACUUCGUG
rnacentral:rRNA from 1 species